UAAAGAGUGGGGAGGGGCUCAAUAAUAAGGCUAGGCAGCAGGAAGUGGUUUGCUGUAUCAAACACAUAGAACACUUGAGCUUGCUUCACAACAUGCAGCACAACAAGGUUCUUGGAUCCAGGUACUGGUGGUCAUACUUUGUACGCUGCCUGUCACCUCCUGGUAAGCUGAUCAAUCUUUUAGUGGCCUGAAAAGAAAAGAAUCAAGACUGUCGUCAGAUCAAGCAAAGGAACAAACGUUUAUCAUCACUUACACUUCUACAUUUACACAGAGACUAGACUAGACAUGAUUGCAUUGACAUUUGACAUACCUUAAGAAGAGUUGGCUAGAGUUUGCCAUCCCAGGCGAAUUGA